rnacentral:rRNA from 1 species
UACCAGCACCCCGAGCGGUCGGGACGAUUAUUGGGCCUAAAGCCUCCGUAGCCGGUUUUACAAGUCCUCCGUUAAAUCCAGCUGCUUAACAGAUGGGCUGCGGAGGAUACUAUAAGACUAGGAGGCAGGAGAGGCAAGCGGUACUCAGUGGGUAGGGGUAAAAUCCGUUGAUCCAUUGAAGACCACCAGUGGCGAAGGCGGCUUGCCAGAAUGCGCUCGACGGUGAGGGAUGAAAGCUGGGGGAGCAAACCGG